rnacentral:rRNA from 1 species
AGCGAACGCUGGCGGCAGGCCUAACACAUGCAAGUCGAACGAAGUCUUCGGACUUAGUGGCGGACGGGUGAGUAACACGUGGGAACGUACCUUUUGGUUCGGAACAACUCAGGGAAACUUGAGCUAAUACCGAAUGUGCCCUUGGGGGAAAGAUUUAUCGCCAUUAGAGCGGCCCGCGUUAGAUUAGCUAGUUGGUGGGG